UACGGGGGGGGUAAGCGUUGUUCGGAAUUACUGGGCGUAAAGGGCUCGUAGGCGGCCAGCUAAGUCAGACGUGAAAUCCCUCAGCUUAACUGGGGAACUGCGUCUGACACUGGAUGGCUUGGAUUCGGGAGAGGAAUGCGGAAUUCCAGGUGUAGCGGUGAAAUGCGUAGAUAUCUGGAGGAACACCGGUGGCGAAGGCGGCAUUCUGGACCGAUAUUGACGCUGAGGAGCGAAAGCCAGGGGAGCAAACGGG
rnacentral:rRNA from 1 species